UGCAAAAUCCAUUAUGUGACUGUGAUUCUUUGCACAUUUUUAUCAAUUGCAGGGGUGGAUUCAUAGGAAUGAAAAUGGUGGUUAUGAUUCAUUGCACAAAAUGUCUUCAUAUUAAUUUCAAAAGAAUUUUGUGCUUUGGAUAAACAAAUUUCAUUAAUUUGUUUGGCAGAGUUUUACAUAAAACUUAAGUACGCCGAUGAAGAAAUUACAGUAAAAAGUACAAAUAAUGAUAAGAUCUCCUAUAACAGAAGAACUAAUAAAAUACAUUAAAGAUUCUCCGAUCUUCAAAUCUUGAAUCUCCAAGAAAAAGAUGUAAUGUGCCAUGAACAUCUUAAUCAACAUCAUCACUGGUAGCCACGGAUCCUGGACAUAAAUAUUUGGAUCUGCGUCAUGCCGGAAUGAAGCAUCCUUAAUGAUAUACCCGUGUAUAUUUCUGCAAGUGAACAAAUCGCCAAAAAGGAUAAUUAAUUUGCUUCCUGAUUCAUGAUUUAAUAAAAAAGACAAUUGGUAAUCAUGAAUUUUCACUACAAUUGGUCAUCAUGGAUCAUAAAUAAUAGCUUAGU